CAACAAGUGGUUUACAAUUAGAAUAUUAGUUUUGGGUAUUAGGGGUAUAGGGGUUCCUAUCUUGUUGA
rnacentral:tRNA from 1 species